GAGGCCCAGAGAGGAAGGGGGCGUGGCCAAGCGUGUGAGACUUUUCUUAGUUUUCUUACUCUCAGAUCCUGCUAGGGAUCCUGAAGAUCGAACACAGGAGGAAACAGGCUUUCUGGGUCUUCUGAGGUAGAAGAAGCUUUUGAGUGCCAGGGAGGAAAUGAUGGGACCAGGAAGCUAACCUUGAGGCUCUCAGAAGGCCACACCACCCCCAACCGUGGAGGCAGAACCCAGCCCACGCUCAGCAACUGAACUGGCUUUCCCUACACCUGUUCCUGGUCACCCAGAAGUCCUUACUACCUGUGCCCUGCGGCCUGGGAGAGAAAUAGCAGGAGAGAGAGGGAGGUCCCACCCAGACGAGACACCAUGCGCGUCCAUUACCUGUGGCUCCUCUUGAUCCUAGUGUCUCCCUCUCCUACUUCCAGUGGAAGUUCUCACCCCUCAGUAACAACUUCUGACCAGAGUUGUGGCCUUUAGGACACGUGGCUUCGGCUCGGUACAGCUCAGCAAAUGAUUGGACCGUUGACCAUCCCCAAACCCUCUUUGCCUGGGAGGGAGCCUGCAUCAGGAUUCCUUGCAAGUACAAAACUCCACUACCCAAGGCACGUCUGGACAACAUCCUCCUUUUUCAGAACUAUGAGUUUGACAAGGCCACCAAGAAAUUCACAGGAACUGUCCUGUACAACGCCACAAAGACUGAGAAGGACCCAGAGUCUGAGCUGUACCUUUCUAAGCAAGGGAGAGUAACAUUUCUGGGGAACAGAAUAGACAAUUGUACCCUGAAAAUCCACCCGAUACGUGCCAAUGACAGUGGGAAUCUGGGGUUGAGGAUGACCGCAGGGACUGAACGAUGGAUGGAGCCCAUUCACCUCAAUGUCUCGGAGAAACCGUUCCAACCUUACAUCCAGAUGCCAUCAGAAAUCCGGGAAUCCCAAAGUGUCACUCUGACCUGUGGACUGAAUUUCUCCUGCUUUGGGUAUGACAUCCUCUUGAAGUGGUUCCUAGAAGAUUCUGAGAUCACCUCCAUCACCUCUUCUGUCACCUCCAUCACCUCUUCUGUCACCUCCUCCAUUAAGAAUGUCUAUACAGAGAGCAAGCUCACCUUCCAACCAAAGUGGACGGACCACGGAAAGAGUGUGAAGUGCCAAGUCCAGCACUCCUCCAAAGUGCUCUCAGAGCGCACUGUGCGUCUGGAUGUUAAAUACCCCGAAGCUGGAGAUCAAGGUCAAUCCCACAGAGGUGGAAAAGAACAAUUCUGUGACCAUGACAUGCCGGGUUAACAGCAGCAACCCGAAACUCAGGACCGUGGCGGUGUCUUGGUUCAAGGAUGGGCGCCCCCUAGAGGAUCAGGAACUGGAACAGGAACAACAGAUGUCCAAGCUAAUUCUGCAUUCAGUGACCAAGGACAUGAGAGGGAAAUACCGGUGCCAGGCUUCCAACGACAUAGGCCCAGGAGAGUCGGAAGAAGUGGAACUCACGGUGCACUAUGCUCCAGAACCCUCCAGGGUUCACAUCUACCCUUCCCCCGCUGAAGAGGGACAGUCAGUAGAGCUGAUUUGUGAGUCACUGGCCAGUCCAAGUGCAACAAACUACACCUGGUAUCACAACAGGAAACCUAUACCUGGAGACACCCAAGAGAAGCUCCGCAUCCCUAAAGUCUCCCCGUGGCAUGCUGGGAAUUACUCUUGCUUGGCAGAGAACCGUCUGGGUCAUGGAAAGAUAGACCAGGAAGCUAAGCUGGAUGUCCAUUAUGCUCCCAAGGCGGUGACCACAGUGAUUCAGAGCUUCACACCAAUCCUGGAAGGAGACAGUGUGACCCUGGUCUGUAGGUACAACUCCAGCAAUCCAGACGUCACCUCCUACAGAUGGAACCCUCAAGGUUCUGGGAGUGUGCUCAAACCCGGAGUGCUGAGGAUUCAGAAAGUGACAUGGGAUUCCAUGCCUGUCAGCUGUGCUGCCUGCAACCACAAGUGUUCGUGGGCCCUCCCUGUCAUCCUGAAUGUCCACUACGCCCCCAGAGACGUGAAGGUACUGAAGGUAAGCCCCGCAUCAGAGAUCCGCGCUGGGCAGCGUGUCCUCCUCCAAUGCGACUUCGCAGAGAGCAACCCGGCAGAGGUCCGCUUCUUCUGGAAGAAGAAUGGGAGUCUCGUGCAGGAAGGGAGGUACCUGAGCUUCGGCUCCGUCUCCCCAGAAGAUUCUGGAAAUUAUAACUGCAUGGUCAACAACUCCAUCGGAGAGACCUUGUCACAGGCCUGGAACCUCCAAGUGCUGUAUGCUCCUCGGAGGCUGCGUGUGUCCAUCAGCCCUGGGGACCAUGUGAUGGAGGGGAAGAAGGCCACCUUGUCCUGUGAGAGUGAUGCCAAUCCGCCCAUCUCACAGUACACCUGGUUUGACUCCAGUGGCCAAGACCUCCACUCCUCAGGCCAGAAACUGAGACUGGAACCCCUGGAGGUCCAACACACGGGUUCCUACCGCUGCAAAGGGACCAAUGGGAUAGGCACAGGAGAGUCACCACCCAGCACCCUCACUGUCUACUACAGUCCAGAGACCAUCGGCAAGCGGGUCGCCUUGGGACUAGGCUUCUGCCUGACUAUCUGCAUCCUGGCCAUCUGGGGGAUGAAAAUCCAGAAAAAAUGGAAGCAAAACCGCAGCCAGCAGGGGCUUCAGGAAAAUUCCAGUGGCCAGAGCUUUUUUGUGAGGAACAAAAAGGCUAGGAGGACCCCUCUCUCAGAAGGCCCCCAAUCCCAGGGAUGCUACAAUCCGGCAAUGGAUGACACCGUUAGUUAUGCCAUCUUGCGCUUUCCAGAGAGUGACACGCACAACACUGGAGAUGCAGGGACCCCAGCAACACAGGCUCCUCCUCCAAACAACAGCGACUCGGUCACUUACUCGGUGAUACAGAAGCGGCCUAUGGGGGAUUAUGAGAAUGUGAAUCCGAGCUGCCCGGAGGAUGAGAGCAUCCAUUACUCAGAGCUGGUUCAGUUUGGGGCUGGUAAGCGGCCCCAGGCAAAGGAAGACGUAGACUAUGUGACCCUCAAGCACUGAGGUGGGUAGCAGCUGCUGUUUCAGGUUCUUGAGCCUAAAGAAGACAACUCCUUCAGCUGCUGCAGCUCAGAUGCUAAGGCACCGGCAGCUCCCUGGGCACGGACUCAGGCGUGCAUGUGGCGCACGCCUUUAACGCCAGCACUCAGGAGGCAGAGGCGGGCGGAUUUCUGAGUUCGAGGCCAGCCUGCUCUACAGAGUGGGUUCCAGGACAGCCAGGGUUUUUCAAGGAAACCCUGUAUUGGAAAAAUGAAAAACCAACCAACCAACCAAACAAAAAACAACCUGUGUCUGGCCAGACCUGACCGGCCUUCUCUGGCUGGUGAUCCUCCCUCACGCAUUGUGCCACGUCUGCUUCUCCAACCCCAGGCACCCACCACCAUCUGCUCCAUCCUGUGCCUCACUGCAGCUGGAUGUGUUCCUGUUGUAAUCGUCACUAACACUUCUUCUCUGACCCCUUGAUACUCUACCCCGUUCACUAAUCUUACUACCCACUUUCUGGCCCUGGGGAGAAAUCCCCAGGAAGGACAGAAGUAAGGAAGCAAGAGGCACUGUCCCCAGUUGGCUUUUCUUCUACAAAGAUGUUGGACCUUCUGUGGAGAUGGUGCCUUCCCUCGGGGGUCCUGGACGCUGAGCAGACAGAACGGAAUGGACAUAUAUAAUUCAAUAAGUGCUUCAUAUUAAAAGUGGCGCAGCUGUCACAUGAACUCCUUUGUAUUGGUGAUUGAUCACACUGGAAACAUGGAGAUGGAGAUGGCUUCUUGGUGCCUAGAGGGAGGGGAAAAGACUCAGGGUAAUCUCAUUAUCAAAUCAGUCCCUAGAGGCACCAUUGUCUCACAGUGUUGGUAUUGAACUCAGGGUUUCAUGCAUGCGAGCUGUGAUGGUUUGAAUAUGCUUGGCCUAGGGAGUGGUAAUAUUAGGAGGCGUGGCCUUGUUGGAGUAGGUAUGUCAUUGUGGGCAUGGGCUUUAGCCAGUUUUCUCCUAGCAGCCUUCUCCUAGCACAUGAAGAUGUAGAACUCUCAGCUCCUCCUGCACCAUGCCAACCUGGAUGCUGCCAUCCUCCUGCCUUGAUGAUAAUGGACUGAACCUCUGAACCUGUAAGCCAGCCCCACUUAAAUGUCCUUAUAAGC